rnacentral:rRNA from 1 species
UAGGGAAUCUUCCACAAUGGACGCAAGUCUGAUGGAGCAACGCCGCGUUAGUGAAGAAGGUUUUCGUAUCGUAAAGCUCUGUUGUUGGUGAAGAAGGAUAGAGGCAGUAACUGGUCUUUAUUUGACGGUAAUCAACCAGAAAGUCACGGCUAACUACGUGCCAGCAGCCGCGGUAAUACGUAGGUGGCAAGCGUUGUCCGGAUUUUUUGGGCGUAAAGCGAGCGCAGGCGGAAUGAUAAGUCUGAUGUGAAAGCCCACGGCGCAACCGUGGAACUGCAUCGGAAACUGUCAUUCUUGAGUGCAGAAGAGGAGAGUGGAAUUCCAUGUGUAGCGGUGGAAUGCGUAGAUAUAUGGAAGAACACCAGUGGCGAAGGCGGCUCUCUGGUCUGCAACUGACGCUGAGGCUCGAAAGCAUGGGUAGCGAACAGG